UACGAAGGGGGCUAGCGUUGUUCGGAAAUACUGGGCGUAAAGCGCACGUAGGCGGGUCGUUAAGUCAGGGGUGAAAUCCCGGAGCUCAACUCCGGAACUGCCUUUGAUACUGGCGAUCUAGAGAUCGGAAGAGGUGAGUGGAAUUCCCAGUGUAGAGGUGAAAUUCGUAGAUAUUGGGAAGAACACCAGUGGCGAAGGCGGCUCACUGGUCCGAUACUGACGCUGAGGUGCGAAAGCGUGGGGAGCAAACAGG
rnacentral:rRNA from 1 species